rnacentral:rRNA from 1 species
UACGAAGGGGGCUAGCGUUGCUCGGAAUUACUGGGCGUAAAGCGCACGUAGGCGGCUUCUUAAGUCGGUGGUGAAAUCCUGGAGCUCAACUCCAGAACUGCCUUCGAUACUGGGAAGCUCGAGUCCGGGAGAGGUGAGUGGAACUGCGAGUGUAGAGGUGAAAUUCGUAGAUAUCUGGAGGAACACCGGUGGCGAAGGCGGCAUCCUGGACCGGCAUUGACGCUGAGGCGCGAAAGCCAGGGGAGCAAACGGG